rnacentral:rRNA from 1 species
UGGCGGCACGCCUAACACAUGCAAGUCGAACGCAGUAGCAAUACUGAGUGGCAAACGGGUGAGUAUAAUGUGGGAAUCUACCUAAAGGUUCGGAAUAACUGCGGGAAACUGUAGCUAAUACCGGAUGUGUCUGAACAGAGAAAGAUUUAUCGCCUUUAGAUGAGCCCGCACUAGAUUAGCUAGUUGGUGAGGUAAUUGCUCCACCAAGGCUACGAUCUAUAGCUGAUUUCAGAGGAUGAUCAGCCACACUGGGACUGAGACACGGCCCAGACUCCUACGGGAGGCAGCAGUAGGGAAUAUUGGA